UCAGACCCCUUUGAUAGUGACAGUGACCCAGAUGACCCUGAGCCUUUCCAUGGUUUUGAUGCCUCGCCCUAUACAUCAGAUCUAGAUGUUCCCUCAUCAGUUGAUACGAGUAUCACCUCUCCAGAGCCCAAAUCAGUUGAUACGAGUAGUAUCACCUCUCCCAUUCCUUCAGACUCCCAAGCACCUGCCCAUCCCACUCCAUAGCCCAGCCACCCACUCUCAUGUACCAUAUGGCCAUCCCAGUAAGCAAGCCAACCACUAGAAUUUG